CCAAGACCUCAGGUAGAGGGAAGGCCAGAGGAGUGGCAGAGUCUGGCCAAGGAGCUGGGAACGCACAGUGUAGUGGGGUCAGGACUGCGACCUGGACAAUCUGACUCCAGAGCCACUCCGGCUGCGGAGACCACUUCCUGACAUCCUGCUGAAUUGGCUUAGGUCAGAGGCAACAUUAACAAAAUCUGACUGGGGGACCGAAACCUUAAGGACUGAAUUAAACUAUUUAACGACUGUCUUUCUCCCCGCCAGGCUGACAUCUGGACUGGAAUGUUCAUCGCACUGCAUCUGUCCGUCCUACACCACCUCUGUCUCAGGGACUGAGACAAGGCUUCCACAGGAACACCAGCUGACCUUCCCAGUCACACGUGUGUGCCCUCAGUGAGUGUCCACCCGGCUCCCACUGGCUCACGAUGCUACUUCAGGAGGCCGGUACUUAGAGCUGAGAAAUCUGCCACCAACAGGAGCAGAGCCCCGUCUUCCUAACUCUGUGUCCCUGAAACACCAUGCCUUGUGCCUGGCCCACGAUGAAUGCUCCUUAGUGAGUCCCUGAAUAAAGCAGAAAGGACAGCUGGGCUGAGUUCAGUGGCCCCAUGUGCCACUGCCUCUGUAUAAAUCAGUGAUACAUGGAAAUCUGGGCCAGGUUAAUGGAAGCUGUCAUCGGGAAUGUCUGGGACAGUUGUACAAGGUUACAUUCCAGGAUCCACGCAAAAAAUGCCAGCAAUUGCCUUUUGUCAACUGCAAAUUAAAGCAAUUUCCAUGUACAGA